rnacentral:sRNA from 1 species
UGACGAGGAGCUUGUUGUUGUUGUUGUUGUUGUUGUUGUUGCUUCUUGCAGCGGUUUACGGCACGUCAGAACGCUCCAUCUUACGCUUUGUUGAUCGUGUUGCGCCCUAUUUAAGAAGUCAUCAUCGAAAUAAUGCAGAUGACAGGCAGGUCAACAAUUUUAGUGGUUUACGCAUGAAUGCAACUGAGCAGGUGCCAAUUUUGUGUGGUGCUUGAGGGGAAUAAUGAAC